UUUAUAGUGGCAGAAUAUAUGCAUAGAUUUUAAGCGUCUAAUAUAAGACAUCCUUCUAUUUUC
rnacentral:tRNA from 1 species